AUACGUAGGGGGCGAGCGUUGUCCGGAAUGACUGGGCGUAAAGGGCGUGUAGGCGGCUUUUUAAGUCUGGAGUGAAAGUCCUGCUUUCAAGGUGGGAAUUGCUUUGGAAACUGGAGAGCUUGAGUGCGGAAGAGGUAAGUGGAAUUCCCAGUGUAGCGGUGAAAUGCGUAGAUAUUAGGAGGAACACCAGUGGCGAAGGCGACUUACUGGACGAUAACUGACGCUGAGGCUCGAAAGCGUGGGGAGC
rnacentral:rRNA from 1 species